GAAAACACAGAUCCUGGUGCCGAACAUGAGGACAGGACAGGCUGAAGGAGAAAGUGGAAGGAGGGGAGCUUCUCUCUCAGCCUCAUCCUCCUGGGCCUGGAUGCUGGAGAGUCAUGAGGUGCUUCAGAGUACUCUGGGUGAGGAGGGAAAGAUGGUGCCCACCACAUGGAGGCCAGCCUAGGUCUUGUAUGAAACCCGUGAGCAGGAGCCAGGCCGUGGCCUGCUGACUGCAUCUGCCAGAUGACUACCAAUGUGAGAUUCUCUCUCCCUUGCUGUCUUUGAAAAAGCAAGUUGCCAUGUGAAGAGGGCCAUAUAGCAUAGGAGCUGAAGGCAGCCUCCAACUGACGGCAAGAAAAUGAGGUCCUCAAUCUGACAACCUGCAAGAAACUGAAUGUUCUAAAAGCCACAUGAGCUUGGGAGCAGAUCUGACCCCAGCCAAAUCUCUGAAGUCCACAGGCAGGAAAUGAAGAUCAGAAAAAGGCUAUUGUCUCAUGAAUAUGAGUCAGACUCCACAGAAGCUGGAGUCCUUCAUUAUGGAGCUAAACACAUACACCUGGCUUAGGAGUCAGAAAAACUGAAAGAGAAUUCAGGGAAGUAGAGAAAUUGCAAGCCCAGAUGCUGCUUCAUACCAAAGAAGCAAGUCAGCAGAUCAGCAACAAUGUGUAUCAGUUCCAAAAUGACUUACACAGGUACCAAGACAAGACAUUAUAUAC
rnacentral:antisense_RNA from 1 species